rnacentral:rRNA from 1 species
AGCGAACGCUGGCGACAGGCCUAACACAUGCAAGUCGAACGAACUCUUCGGAGUUAGUGGCGGACGGGUGAGUAACACGUGGGAACGUGCCUUUUGGUUCGGAAUAACUCAGGGAAACUUGUGCUAAUACCGAAUGUGCCCUUCGGGGGAAAGAUUUAUCGCCAUUAGAGCGGCCCGCGUCUGAUUAGCUAGUUGGUGAGGUAACGGCUCACCAAGGCGACGAUCAGUAGCUGGUCGGAGAGGAUGACCAGCCACACUGGGACUGAGACACGGCCCAGACUCCUACGGGAGGCAGCAGUGGGGAAUCUUGCGCAAUGGGCGAAAGCCUGACGCAGCCAUGCCGCGUGAAUGAUGAAGGUCUUAGGAUUGUAAAAUUCUUUCACCGGGGACGAUAAUGACGGUACCCGGAGAAGAAGCCCCGGCUAACUUCGUG